UGGGGAAUUUUGGACAAUGGGCGAAAGCCUGAUCCAACAAUGCCGCGUGUGUGAAGAAGGCCUUCGGGUUGUAAAGCACUUUUGUCCGGAAAGAAAUCCUUGGCUCUAAUACAGUCGGGGGAUGACGGUACCGGAAGAAUAAGCACCGGCUAACUACGUGCCAGCAGCCGCGGUAAUACGUAGGGUGCAAGCGUUAAUCGGAAUUACUGGGCGUAAAGCGUGCGCAGGCGGUUUGCUAAGACCGAUGUGAAAUCCCCGGGCUCAACCUGGGAACUGCAUUGGUGACUGGCAGGCUAGAGUAUGGCAGAGGGGGGUAGAAUUCCGCGUGUAGCAGUGAAAUGCGUAGAGAUGUGGAGGAAUACCGAUGGCGAAGGCAGCCCCCUGGGCCAAUACUGACGCUCAUGCACGAAAGCGUGGGGAGCAAACAGGAUUAGAUACCCUGGUAGUCCACGCCCUAAACGAUGUCAACUAGUUGUUGGGGAUUCAUUCCUUAGUAACGUAGCUAACGCGUGAAGUUGACCGCCUGGGGAGUACGGUCGCAAGAUUAAAACUCAAAGGAAUUGACGGGGUCAUAGCUGUUUCCU
rnacentral:rRNA from 1 species